GAUGAACGCUGGCGGCGUGCCUAAUACAUGCAAUUCGAGCGAACAGACGAGGAGCUUGCUCCUCUGACGUUAGCGGCGGACGGGUGAGUAACACGUGGAUAACCUACCUAUAAGACUGGGAUAACUUCGGGAAACCGGAGCUAAUACCGGAUAAUAUAUUGAACCGCAUGGUUCAAUAGUGAAAGACGGUUUUGCUGUCACUUAUAGAUGGAUCCGCGCCGCAUUAGCUAGUUGGUAAGGUAACGGCUUACCAAGGCGACGAUGCGUAGCCGACCUGAGAGGGUGAUCGGCCACACUGGAACUGAGACACGGUACAGACUCCUACGGGAGGCAGCAGUAGGGAAUCUUCCGCAAUGGGCGAAAGCCUGACGGAGCAACGCCGCGUGAGUGAUGAAGGUCUUCGGAUCGUAAAACUCUGUUAUUAGGGAAGAACAAAUGUGUAAGUAACUAUGCACGUCUUGACGGUACCUAAUCAGAAAGCCACGGCUAACUACGUG
rnacentral:rRNA from 1 species